rnacentral:rRNA from 1 species
UACGAAGGGGGCUAGCGUUGCUCGGAAUCACUGGGCGUAAAGCGCACGUAGGCGGCUUGUUAAGUCGGGGGUGAAAUCCUGGAGCUCAACUCAGGAACUGCAUCCGAAACUGCGGGCCUGGAGUGGUGGAGAGGGAAGCAGAAUUCCUGGUGUAGAGGUGAAAUUCGUAGAUAUCAGGAGGAACACCGGUGGCGAAGGCGGCUUCCUGGACACUUACUGACGCUGAGACGCGAAAGCGUGGGGAGCAAACAGG